rnacentral:rRNA from 1 species
UACGAAGGGAGCUAGCGUUGUUCGGAAUCACUGGGCGUAAAGCGCACGUAGGCGGAUUUGUCAGUCAGGGGUGAAAUCCCGGGGCUCAACCUCGGAACUGCCUUUGAUACAGCAAGUCUUGAGUUCGAGAGAGGUGGGUGGAAUUCCUAGUGUAGAGGUGAAAUUCGUAGAUAUUAGGAAGAACACCGGUGGCGAAGGCGGGUCUCUGGGCCGUAACUGACGCUGAGGAGCGAAAGCAUGGGGAGCGAACAGG